UACGGGGGUGGCGAGCGUUACUCGGAUUUAUUGGGUGUAAAGGGCAGGUAGGCGUUCCGUUAAGUUAGAGGUGAAAUCCUAAGGCUCAACCUUAGAACUGCCUCUAAUACUGGCUGAAUUGAGGCUGUCAGAAGAAAGCGGAAUUCCCGGUGUACGGGUGAAAUCUGUAGAUAUCGGGAGGAACACCAGUGGCGAAGGCGGCUUUCUAGUACAGUUCUGACGCUAAUCUGCGAAAGCUCGGGGAGCAAACAGG
rnacentral:rRNA from 1 species